rnacentral:rRNA from 1 species
CUACGGGUUGCUCCAGUGGGGAAUAUUGCACAAUGGGCGCAAGCCUGAUGCAGCCAUGCCGCGUGAGUGAUGAAGGCCCUAGGGUUGUAAAACUCUUUCACCAGGGAAGAUAAUGACGUUACCUGGAGAAGAAGCCCCGGCUAACUCCGUGCCAGCAGCCGCGGUAAUACGGAGGGGGCUAGCGUUGUUCGGAAUUACUGGGCGUAAAGCGCACGUAGGCGGAUCGGUCAGUCAGAGGUGAAAUCCCGAAGCUCAACUUCGGAACUGCCUUUGAUACUGCUGAUCUAGAGUCCGGAAGAGGUGAGUGGAAUUCCUAGUGUAGAGGUGAAAUUCGUAGAUAUUAGGAAGAACACCAGUGGCGAAGGCGGCUCACUGGUCCGGUACUGACGCUGAGGUGCGAAAGCGUGGGGAGCAAACAGGAUUAGAUACCCCGGUAGUC